rnacentral:rRNA from 1 species
UGAGCAAUCUGCCCUUCACAUCGGAAUAACCAUUGGAAACGAUGGCUAAUACCGAAUAUGACUUCGGAUCGCAUGAUCUGAAGUGGAAAGCUCCGGCGGAGAAGGAUGAGCUCGCGGCCUAUCAGCUAGUUGGUGUGGGUAAUGGCCCACCAAGGCGACGACGGGUAGCCGGCCUGAGAGGGUGACCGGCCACACUGGGACUGAGACAUGGCCCAGACUCCG